GGUGGGCCUCGGUGUGGAACGUGAGGUAUUUUGCAUAUAUUUUUAAGGCUUACUAUCGAAUGUCAGGCCAACUUGUAAACUUGCAGAAAUCUACAGUCACCUUCAACCUCAAGACGAAGGUCCAGGUGAAGUAGAUGAUUCGGGAGCGACUGGAGACCUCAAAAUUGACUAGGAUCUUGACCUAUCUGGGCAUUCCUAUUAUCGAUCGGUAUCUCCAAAGGAUCGACUGUAGACUUUUGGAGCAACGGGUUCAAGAUCGACUCGAG
rnacentral:lncRNA from 1 species